rnacentral:tRNA from 1 species
GGCGGAAUAGCUCAAUGGAAGAGCGACCAUCCUUCUUUACCAAUAUGAGAACUUAGAGGUCGACGCGGGUUCGAUUCCCACUUCCGUUC